rnacentral:snoRNA from 1 species
AGCGAUGAUGAAAGGGCCCCUCUGAACGGUGAUGAGGGUUUUGAGUUCUGAGCUCA